AGUGGUCACCGGCGUAAAAUUGUGAACAACAUCUGAAGCAAAAUAAUAGUGUCGUAAUAAAUAGUAGUUCAGUAAAUUCCACGAUUGAUCCAAAGGAGACUGUUAGUGGUAAACAGAGCAACUGUGCUCAAAAUAACCUACACACGCAUCGAAUUUGCGUCCAUUCCAGAGAAACUUUUCGUUGCUGAAAAAGCGCUUCUGCAAAGACAUUUAUCCAGCUAUGGCUGAAAAAAUGUUGGUUAAAAGUUCUGCCACUGUUGUGGCCAAUCACCGACGCCCAGGGAGGCGACUCCACACCCAGGACCCUAACUCACGACCCGUUUAUUAACGGACCGGCGCCAACGGCUUUACUUCCUCAUGCGAUGGAAGGCGUGAUCCCAGAGAUUUUUCGCCUCAGAAAAUCUCCCGGUGUCGGCUAGGAUUGAAUCUAGACCAGUUGGGUUGGUUGUGAGUGGAUCACGCCACCUCACAACCAUCGACACCUAUAUCGGCGGUGGGAUUCGAACCCAGGCGUCGAGCGUGGUUG